CAGAUAGUGAUAGAUGUAGUGCAUAAAGAUUGGACUGUGUUUCAAUGGAAAAAGGUUGUGUGGUCUGAGGAGUCCAGAUUGGCCCUGUUCCAGAACGAGAAGAGAGAUGGUAA